GACGAACGCUGGCGGCGUGCUUAACACAUGCCAGUCGAACGAAGAGCGAUGGAAGCUUGCUUCUAUCAAUCUUAGUGGCGAACGGGUGAGUAACGCGUAAUCAACCUGCCCUUCAGAGGGGGACAACAGUUGGAAACGACUGCUAAUACCGCAUACGAUCUAAUCUCGGCAUCGAGGAUAGAUGAAAGGUGGCCUCUACAUGUAAGCUAUCACUGAAGGAGGGGAUUGCGUCUGAUUAGCUAGUUGGAGGGGUAACGGCCCACCAAGGCGAUGAUCAGUAGCCGGUCUGAGAGGAUGAACGGCCACAUUGGGACUGAGACACGGCCCAGACUCCUACGGGAGGCAGCAGUGGGGAAUCUUCCGCAAUGGACGAAAGUCUGACAGAGCAACGCCGCGUGAGUGAUGACGGCCUUCGGGUUGUAAAGCUCUGUUAAUCGGGACGAAAGGCCUUCUUGCGAAUAGGGAGAAGGAUUGACGGUACCGGAAGAGAAAGCCACGGCUAACUACGUG
rnacentral:rRNA from 1 species